rnacentral:snRNA from 1 species
AUACUCACCUGAAUGGGGUCAAUGGGCGAUCGUUUAGACCCAUGACCUAGGUUGGUGACUUCUAUUGCACUUAUUAGGAAGGGUGCCGCGCUAAGGUGUACCAAAGUUGUGGAGUUUAUGUCAUAAUUUGUGACAAUGGAGGCUUGCGUUCGCGCGGUCCUUCU